ensembl:lncRNA
UUCCCCAAGCCAGAUUCCUUAAAUCAAUUUAUGCUCUCAUGUUCCCAUGUUCCUCUUUACCUGGAAGAAAAACUAUCUGUUAUUAAUGAAAAUGGGUAAUUUUCAUACUUGCUUUGAGCUCUCUUUUGCAAGCUGACAGAUUUUGUUUGUUUGUUUUUGUCUUUUUAGGGCUGCACCCAUGGCAUAUAGAGGAGGUUCCCAGGCUAGGGGUCUAAUCCGAGCUGUUGCUGCUAGCCUACGCCAGAGCCAUAGCAACGCCAUAUCUGAGCUGCAUCUUCGACCUACACCACAGCUCACAGCAAUGCUAGAACCUUAACCCACUGAGCAAGGCCAGGGAUCAAACCCGCAACUUCAUGGUUCCUAGUUGGAUUCAAUUCUGCUGCGCCAUGACAGGAACUCCAAGCUGUCAGAUUUCUGAGAUUCUCAAGGAUACAAUCUGGUAGUUUCCCAUCUGUCAAUUAUCUUAAAUUUUUCAGGGACAAAGCUGUUUCAAACCAGGAUGUCCUGACAGGAAACCUAAGAAACACAACACUCCUUCUUCCUGCUAACGUGUUUUGUAUGGAUCUGUGGAAGCCAUAGCAGUGUGGUAGCUUCUUGCUGCUGCUUUCAGUCUGUGGUGUUCAUCAUCCUCACCCUGGUUGGGGUUUUUCUCUGAGAAUAAGGCAGUGCAGAAUGAAUCUCAUGGUAUCAUUCCUGAUGAUGCUGUACAUGUCUAAUAGGGAGAGGCCCUGCAGCCUCCCUGGGGCCUCUGUUCCAUGUUCCCAGUAAAAUCAACGACACUUGCCCGAUGGCAGUCUUUUGGCCCAGCAUCCUCAGGGAAGGUAUAUGGUGUGGUUCUAGAUACCUGAAUCCCAGCCAAGCUCAGCAAUGCUGAGAAUGACUUACUUUUAGACUCACAUUUGAUUUGAGCGGAACCUUUCAUUGAUUGCACCUAGCAUGCAUCUCAAAUUUCCUGCAUAUUAGCCAAGAAAUUCUAGUUAUUGAAAGCUAAGAUCUGUGACACUGUUAUAACUAAAUUAACACCCUGAAAGUUUAGUGAAUCUUAGGUGGAUUAGAGUUUGAACUCUAGGUAUAAUCUUUGCAAUAUACAAGCUGUUGCCUCAAAAUCUUAUAAAGGGGGGGAGGCUGAAGAAAACCAUUCCUAUAAAUCAUAUUUAUAACACACAGCUAACCAUGAAGUUGUCCACAACUUAGUAAUAUAGUUGAUACCUUGCAAAUGGAUUUAAAAAAUAAAAUGAAUGAGUCCAAACACAUUUUUGAGCUGAAAGUGUUCUAACAGGGUUUUUAGAGAUUGAGAGCAGGAACUGGGUCUCAUGUUUGUUUUUGUCCCCAGCACAGGGCCUCAGACAGCCAUGGAUACAUAUUAGGUGUUGAUUGACAGUCACUGAAUUACUAAAUGGAAAUUUACUGGAGCUUUCUUCUCUGCUCAACUCCACACACAAGUAGGCCUGCCCUGUGGGAUUCUUAGCAAGAACAGAUAUUUUAUGAGAGCUGUCACUCCGAGUUGAUUGGAUGGAUAAAGUGAAACCAAGGGGUUGUGUUUUAAAACCAAAUACAUUUACUCUGCUAAAUUUUACAAUUGGGGUGUUCUACUUUGGGUGGGGUUAGACAAAAUGACCUCUAACUUGUGGUUUAUAGGUUUAGGGAAAUACCCUUUUUUUUUUUUUUUUUAAGACACCGAGAUGAACCCAGCAGGCAAGCUGGCAGGAAGUCAGACUGCGGCCCUUGCCUGAGAGGAUGACACAGGCCAAAGGAGAGAAGGAAAACAACAAGGCAGCCAGAGCUAGGGUCUGUGCUCAGCUCUGGAAGAUGCAGCCAUGGGUGAAUCAACUCUCCUUGCUUCAAGUUUAUGCUUCAUUAGGAGAGAUAAGAAAGCCAAGGGCCACACCCAAGGCAUAUGGAAGUUCUUCUUGCCCUUGCCCACCUUCAUGACUGAGAGUGCAGCAAAAAAUGGCAAAGAAAAAACAUCAUACAUCAUAAGACGUUGAAAGACUGCAGAAAAAAGGGAAAAGCUUUUUUCCUUUUUUUAUGAAAAAAGGGCCCCACAUUUUCAUUUCACACUGGGCCCUGCAAAUAUGUAGUUGAACCUGCUGGCAGAUAAAGAAUUCCUGAAGGAGUUAGCCAAAGUCUAAGAAUAUUCUGGGGGUUUUGUGGCUUAAGUACUAAUGUCAGUUAGCUCUGCCCAAAUUUGGAACAAUGUUGGGGCUAUUUCAAGCCCUGUGAAAUGUCAACAAUAGUGGUAAAGGACUAUUGGCAAACCAAAUAUGAAGAGACUGCACAUGUGAUAAGUAAAAAAUCAACUUGCUAGAAGGUAUUGGUGGAUUUUCAGCUUUAUUUGUAAGAGGAAGAAGAUGGAUAGAAAAGACUGUCUGGUUGCUCCUCUUGAAGCCAGCUUUUUUACCCUGAUAAUCUAGGAUCAGAUCUGAGGAUCAAAACUUCAGAGAAUCUUGAUUUGAAAAGAGAGUUGAGGAGUUCCCGUCGUGGCACAACAGAAGUGAAUGUGACCAGGAAACACGAGGUUUCGGGUUCAGUCCCUGGCCUCGCUUCGUGGGUUAAGAAUCAGGUGUUGCUGGGAGCUGUGGUGUAGGUCACAGACAUGGCUUUGAUCCUGCAUUGCUGUGGCUGUGGUGUAGGACAGCGGUUACAGUUCCAAUUAGACCCCUACCCUGGAACUUCCAUAUGCCUCGGGUGCAGCCCUAAAAAGCAAAAAAAAAAAAAAAAAACAAAAAAAAAAAG